UAAGCUGGCAGUCAGCCAUCGCUUAGUUUUAUAGUAAUUAAAGCUUAAGAGGAAAGUCCGAGCUCCAAUAAGAACAUAAUGCUAGGUAAUGCCUAGGGGUUUAAAACCUAAGAAAGUGUCGCAGAAAAUUACCGCCAUAAAAGGUAAGGGUGAAAAGGUGAGGUAAGAGCUCACCGCUUAUUUAGCAAUAAAUACAGGCAAGAUAAACCUCAUUAGGAGCAAGAUCAAGUAUGUAAGCACCCUUUGUUCUUGAGGACAUGCUUACGGGUAGAUCGCACGAUUUUUUUAGCGAUAAAAAAACAAGAGAGAUGAUGGCAUAGUACAGAACUCGGCUUAUGGGUGUCAGCUUAAUUU
rnacentral:RNase_P_RNA from 1 species